GUUGACUUGAGUGACCCGUAGGAUACCUGAAUGACGGUUUUGCCAAGUUUUAUUAAUUCCAAAUUUCCAAGUAUAGGUACUCCAGUGCUCCGCUAGCAGUUCACAAUUGUUUUUGGGUUUGCCAAAAGACCUCAAAACCUAAAUUCCUCUCCAUUUUCUGGCGGAUUUUGUGCAAAUUCAUACUUUUCCAGAAAUCAAAUUCAGAAACAAUUGUCAAUCGCUCUUAGGGGCAUCAGUCACAAUGUCAGGCAGAAACCCUGGUCCGCCAUUGCCGAUGAAGAACUUGCCUCAUGGAAGGAUUCCGUUUCCACCCCAUGAACCGCCAUAUGGCCGAAAUCUUGGUCCGAUGCCUCACCCUGCACUUCUUGAGGAAAUGAGGGAGAGGGAAUCCCAGUUUGGGAUGGGCCCUAGGUCACUACCCCCUCAUCCUGCUAUCCUCGAGGAACGUCUCGGAGUUCAGCUUCAAGAAAUUCAAGGUUUAUUAGUCGAUAACCAGAGGGUUGCUGCUACCCAUGUUGCAUUGAAGCAGGAAUUAGAAGCUGCUCAUUACGAGUUGCAACGAAUGUCCCAUUAUGGUGAUUCCUUUCACGCAGAAAAGGAUAUGCAGAUGAGAGAAAUGCUUGACAAGGCUGCCAAAUUGGAGAUGGAACUUCAAGCAGCAGAUGCAAUGAAGGCUGAACACAUGCGGGUUCAAUCUGACAUUAAAGAACUUACUGUCGUGAGGCAAGAUCUUAUGGCUCAGGUCCAGAGAAUGAACCAGGAUUUGACUAGAUUUUCUACUGAUUUACAGCAAGUUCCGGCAUUGAAAGCUGAAAUUGAGCAUAUGAGACAGGAGGUUGACAGAGCAAAGGCUGCUAUUGAGUAUGAGAAGAAAGCAUAUGCUGAUAGCUAUGAGCAUGGCCAAAAGUUCCAGGCCAAAAUGCUCUCAAUGGCUAGAGAACUAGAAAAGCUUCGGGCAGAGGUUGCUAAUGCAGAGAAGAGAGCACGUGCUGCUGCUGCUGUUGGCAAUCCUGGAGCAGCGGCAGGUUAUAACACCACUUAUAGCACACCUGAAGCUGGAUACGCAGGAAAUCCCUACCCAGCUGGCUAUGGAGUAAACUUAACACAGCCUGGUAUGGAAAAUUAUUCUCAAUAUGGACCUGGGCCUGGCAAUUGGGGAGCAUAUAACAUGCAACGUGGUCAAGGGCAUAGAUGAAGUGGCUUGCAAUUAUCUGAUGAUGCAGAAUCCUGUUUUGUUUUGCAUGCUGGUCUCUUCAGCUCGAGCUUGAUAGAUGCAUAAGUGUGACUGCGUGAGUAACUUUGAGGGAUCCUUUUACAGAAUAUGGGGAUGCUUCUUUACUAACUAUGGAAAUUUUGCAAGGAGGGUCGAUCUUCCUGCAUGUUAGAUGGGAAUAUAUAAGGUGGGCUCUUUUUGAUGAUUUGUCACAGCUCAGAAUUCACUUUUUGGAAGCUUGCAAUACAAUGCUGCUUAUCAACAGGGAAUUGACUUGUGCAUUCUGUCAUGGAUUAUAUGAUAAUUUGCCAUCUCAAAGAAGUGUUGUCUAAUGAUGACAAAUAAUGAGAUGGGAAAAAGGCAUGCUUCAUGAAAAUCAUCUUCAAGUGGGAGGGGAGGAGGGUAAACCUUGGCUGAGGUAGCCUAUUUCUACACAGAAUGGCAGCGAGGAAAACGGAAAAGAUGCAGGAAUCUUUAGUAACAGUCUUGCACACGUCUUUGUUGUACCCUCUAUAAUCACCCGAAACUUCUCUUGAUUUCCAUAAAUUGGUUUUUGACAACAUGCAUACGACUUCAGUCACGGGGCACCACCACUAAACCACCAUGGUUUUGACACCAAAUGAAAUACUUUUCCAGUACCUAACUAAUUUGUGCACACCUCUUCAACCAUAAAUCCACCAUCACUACCUUGUUCAAAUGCCAGCAACUAUCAUCUUGCCACCACUUGAAACAUUUUUUUAUCAGUCAAAAAACUGCUGGUGACUCGGUUUAUUGUCUCAAGUAAAUUGACAUUUUGUAACUCUGGUGUAUUACCAUUGUAUCAUAUCAUGUACCAAAUUAUGAUUUACAUUGAAGUCAUUAGUUAAUUUU